GCUUGCAUUUAACUGAUUCCCCAUUGAGACGAGUGGCGAACUGGUGAGUAACACGUGGGUAACCUGCCCUUGAAGUAGGGGAUAACACUUGGAAACAGGUGCUAAUACCGUAUAACAACCAAAACCACCUGGUUUUGGUUUAAAAGAUGGCUUCGGCUAUCACUUUAGGAUGGACCCGCGGCGUAUUAGCUUGUUGGUAAGGUAACGGCCUACCAAGGCAAUGAUACGUAGCCGACCUGAGAGGGUAAUCGGCCACAUUGGGACUGAGACACGGCCCAAACUCCUACGGGAGGCAGCAGUAGGGAAUCUUCCACAAUGGACGAAAGUCUGAUGGAGCAACGCCGCGUGAGUGAUGAAGGGUUUCGGCUCGUAAAACUCUGUUGUUGGAGAAGAACAGGUGUGAGAGUAACUGUUCACAUCUUGACGGUAUCCAACCAGAAAGCCACGGCUAACUACGUGCCAGCAGCCGCGGUAAUACGUAGGUGGCAAGCGUUGUCCGGAUUUAUUGGGCGUAAAGCGAGCGCAGGCGGUUUCUUAGGUCUGAUGUGAAAGCCUUCGGCUUAACCGGAGAAGUGCAUCGGAAACCAGGAGACUUGAGUGCAGAAGAGGACAGUGGAACUCCAUGUGUAGCGGUGAAAUGCGUAGAUAUAUGGAAGAAUACCAGUGGCGAAGGCGGCUGUCUGGUCUGUAACUGACGCUGAGGCUCGAAAGCAUGGGUAGCGAACAGGAU
rnacentral:rRNA from 1 species